rnacentral:lncRNA from 1 species
UUUUUGGCCACUCUGCAGCAUAUGGAUUUCCCUGGGCCAGGGAUCAGAUCAGGUCCAAGUCAACAGCUGUGACCCACACCACAGCUGCAAUGACACCGGAUCCUUUAACCCACUGUGCCAGGCCAGGGAUCAAACCUGCAUCCCAGUGCUCCAGAUGAGCUGCCAAUCCCAUUGCACCACAGCAGGAACUCCAGUAUAAUACUCUCAUCCCCCAUCUUCUAGUUGAGAAAAGAGAUGCUCAGAGAGGCCAAGAAACCUGCCUCAGGUCACAGAGCUAAGAAAGCGAAGAGCAUAGAUUCAAACCCAGGAAACUGGUCAGAGCCAAGUGAUCUGUGGCUUUAUUUAUUUUUUUUAAUUUAUUUAUUUUCUUAGCUUUUUAGGGCCACACCUGCCGCAUAUGGAAGUUUCCAGGUGUCCAAAUGGAGCUGUGUCUGCUGGCCUACGCCACAGCCACAGCAACGCAGGAUCUGAGCCAUGUCUGGGAUCUACACCACAGUUCACCUCAAUGCUGGAUCCUUAACCCACUGAGUGAGGCCAGGGAUCAAACCCGCAUCCUCACAAACACUGAGUCAGGUCCUCAACCCAUUGAGCCACAACAAGAACUCCAAGAUCCACAAACCUCUUACAUUAAUUCACCACCCAUUUUAUAGGUAGAGGUCCAGAGAAAGGAUGCGAUUUAAUCACUAAGGCAGGGCUGGACCCGAAUAUCCCCAAUCAGAUCAAGGUUGAAGCCAGCGACUCUCGGUCAUAUGCCACUUCUCCCCCAUUGUCAAACUUCCCUUUCAACAAAUGAAGCUCCUUAGCCUUCUGCUAAGGCCAGAACAGUACAAGGAGAUACACAAGACAAUUGGGCAGGCUUCCUGCCUGCCCUUUAGUCUAUACACCACUUCAUCCCAUCCACAUCUCCCCAGAGAAAUAGCCAGUCCGAUCCCACAGUUCACUUGCUAAGAAGUCUAGCAUGAGUCACCACUUCUCUGUGCAUCUCAUUUUCUGUAUUCAUUAAAUGAGAUGUGACCGACCUCGCCGGGUUGCUGUGAACACUAAACAAUAAAAUAUACCAAAAGUGACUGGCCCCAAGUUAAGCCCUCAGUCCAUGGUUUCUGUUCCUACCAUCAGAUUGAAAAUGUUAAAGAAGCAAAACAUUCCUCCAAAAUCCCCCUUUGGAGGAGAGGAAUCCACAGAACCCAGCACGCAAAGGUUUGCCAAGUCCUGCAGGUACCUGUGUUAAUGAAUAAAUGAAAAUGCUGGGUAACAAGCAGAGCGAUUAUUUUAUGUAAAUGGCCCUCCCGUGGAGCUUGUAAACAAUUUCUGGUCUUAAGAAAACAUUGCCCUUGAGAGCUUGUUUACAACACCAAUUUGCUUCUCCAACGUUCUCUUCCUGGGCUGUGCAGGGGAGCCCCUGGCCCAGGUAUGAGACAAUCACGACAAAUCCUUAACUGGGUGCUUCCGGUCUUAGCAGUGGCUUAUGGGGACCUGAGAUCCUUGGGGAGGAUUCCACCUUUAACAAAAAUGUUUCUCUUUUUUUUGUUGUUGUUGUUUUUUCCUUCUACGAGGAAGGUAGAAGUUUGGUCCAAGCUGAGAGAGGAGUUAAUAUUUGAGUUGGAAUAAAACAGAUGCAUUUGGAUGGGAUAAAAUAAGAAGCAUAAUAGAGUUCCCAUCGUGGGUCAGCAGUAACGAACCCAACUAGUAUCCACUAGGGUGCAGGUUCAAUCCCUGGCCUCACUCAGUGAGUUAAGGAUUUGGCAUUGUCAUGAGCUGUGGUGUAGGUCACAGGUGUGGCCCAGAUGUUAUGGCUGUGGUGUAAGCCAGCAUCUGUAGCUACAAUUCAACCCCUAGCCUGGGAACUUCCAUAUGCCAAGGGUGCAAUCCUAAAAAGCAAAAAUAAAUAAAUAAGAAGCAUAAUAUAAUAGUGGAAGGAGGUCACCACCAAGCAGAAGAAUGUGCUGGGGUCCUGGUUUAUUCUGGAACAAUAGGGAAUCAAGAAUAAGCACUGGUCAGCUGGGCAACUGCUCAGGAUCCCAGGCGAAACCAGUCUGUGAGAAGUGCUAAAUAAAACCUCACUGAAAUCCACCAGAAAUGCGGUGUCAGGUAACACAGAUUUCCACCUGCCCCUCCUUACAUAACAGAAGACAGUCAGCUAGCCCCGUCCCUUGUCCUAGAAAGCAAAGUACCUGUAGUCACCACAUAAAUCCAUACAAACAGCAGGAGACAGCUGCACAGCACACCACCAACUCUGCACCAGCCAGCUGAUUAUUUAGGAAUACACCCCAAGAGCUGUAUACGAGAUGGAAACUCUUGUAAUAAGUCUUUUGGGUUUUUAACUAAAUAAAGAGGUACAUCUUUUUCAUGAAUCAAAACUGUUUUCCUGUCCCUCCCACAUAAGUGCUAAAUUGAGAUUUGAAUACUCUAAGGUUGAUAAGAUAUUAAUUAUGAGCUUGUUGGGUGAACCCAUAUGUCUCAGGUGGCCCUGGACAAAUCAUAUGACCUUUAAGAGUCAAUUGAUGACUGCACUUCAAGAUGUUAUGGACAUUCUUUCUCCUGGAAAACUCACAGGCAUUAUUUCCUGAAUGGAAGCCCAACUCUCCCAGUGUUUUAGAUCAUAAACAUAUUUGUUCAGGUUAAAAAAAAAAAAGUCAAUUGACAACAUUGUACAUCAACUCUAAUUAAAAAAAAAAAAAAGAAGUCAAUCUGAAUUUCAAGAGUAAAUAGCCAAAGGGUAAAGAAAGUGGCCAUGAUAUCAAUGAACAAACCAUUUCAUACUUCUAUGCCUUUGGCUUACUGUUCCUUCUCCCUGGGGUGUCCUGCUGUAGUCCACUCCCCCCCUCUUACUGAUGUGGCCAUCUCAAGGUCAAAUCAAGGA